rnacentral:rRNA from 1 species
GUAGGUGGCAAGCGUUGUCCGGAAUUAUUGGGCGUAAAGCGCGCGCAGGCGGUCCUUUAAGUCUGAUGUGAAAGCCCACGGGCUCAACCGUGGAGGGUCAUUGGAAACUGGGGGACUUGAGUACAGAAGAGGAAAGCGGAAUUCCAAGUGUAGCGGUGAAAUGCGUAGAGAUUUGGAGGAACACCAGUGGCGAAGGCGGCUUUCUGGUCUGUAACUGACGCUGAGGCGCGAGAGCGUGGGGAGCAAACAGGAUUAGAUACCCUGGUAGUCCACGCCGUAAACGAUGAGUGCUAAGUGUUAGGGGGUUUCCGCCCCUUAGUGCUGCAGCUAACGCAUUAAGCACUCCGCCUGGGGAGUACGGCCGCAAAGGCUG